GUAGGUGGCAAGCGUUGUCCGGAAUUAUUGGGCGUAAAGCGCGCGCAGGUGGUUCUUUAAGUCUGAUGUGAAAGCCCCCGGCUCAACCGGGGAGGGUCAUUGGAAACUGGGGAACUUGAGUGCAGGAGAGGAAAGUGGAAUUCCACGUGUAGCGGUGAAAUGCGUAGAUAUGUGGAGGAACACCAGUGGCGAAGGCGACUUUCUGGCCUGUAACUGACACUGAGGCGCGAAAGCGUGGGUAGCAAACAGGAUUAGAUACCCUGGUAGUCCACGCCGUAAACGAUGAGUGCUGAGUGUUGGGGGGGUUUCCCGCCCCUCAGUGCUGCAGCUAACGCAUUAAGCACUCCGCCUGGGGAUACGGUCGCAAGACUG
rnacentral:rRNA from 1 species